GUGGAUACCAGGAAGCUGUGUGUAUUGAGAGCUGGGGAAGGCAGGUUUUUUGCCAGUUUGGCUUUUGCACUGAGAAAGCUCUCUCACACCUGAAGAAGAUGCUCUGUAUUGCUUCAGCAUUUCAGGUGGAUUAGCCAACAACGCACCAGGGACCAAGUAAAGAGCAAGAAAGUCACAGGAAGCAGCAUUGCUGAUAAACUGGUGGGGUUCAGCAAGUGUAUUGAUUUCAGACAUACAGAUUACUGGAGAAGGAAUGACUCAAAGGCUCGCAUAGUACACGAACACCCUGGCUACAGUUUUGAAAAAGCCUCAGCUGAUCUUUAGCUCCCACACCAAAUCAGAUCAUGUCAUAUGCUUCUCAACGGGACAACAGCAUGUCACAUUGUGAACCUGGAGAAAAGAAGAACAGCUCUUAUCUGAGUCCCGCCUACUGUGGAGAAGGUGCUGGCUGACAGGAGAUAGGAGCAGGCUCGCCUGAGAGACCCUUCCUGGCUCUGGGGCUGGCAGGAAACUCAAAUAAAAAAUAACAAAAAACUGCUAAAAUGUAGCAACCCAGAACUCUCCCUUUGCCAAAGGCCAAACAGAACUUGCAUGACAAAUGUUUGGAGGUCACAUCUGAAGACAGA